rnacentral:rRNA from 1 species
AGCGAACGCUGGCGGCAGGCCUAACACAUGCAAGUCGAACGAACCUUUCGGGGUUAGUGGCGGACGGGUGAGUAACACGUGGGAACGUGCCUUUAGGUUCGGAAUAACUCAGGGAAACUUGUGCUAAUACCGAAUGUGCCCUUCGGGGGAAAGAUUUAUCGCCUUUAGAGCGGCCCGCGUCUGAUUAGCUAGUUGUUUGAGGUAAUGGCUCACCAAGGCGACGAUCAGUAGCUGGUCUGAGAGGAUGAUCAGCCACAUUGGGACUGAGACACGGCCCAAACUCCUACGGGAGGCAGCAGUGGGGAAUCGUGCGAAAUGGGCGAAAGCAUGACGCAGCCAUGCCGCGUGAAUGAUGAAGGUCUUAGGAUUGUAAAAUUCUUUCACCGGGGACGAUAAUGACGGUACCCGGAGAAGAAGCCCCGGCUAACUUCGUG